AGGUCACAAGAAAGCCAUUGUUUCACUUAGAUUUUUUUUUGUAUAUGAAGUCCAGGUGACUGUGAUUGUAAACUUUUUUGCAUUCCUCAACUAUUUUUAAGCCCAAAAAUUAAUAACAUUACUGACUAUGAUAUAUACAUGUAGUAUCCUUUUGCUAUUGCAUUGCAGUACUUUAACCAAAGGGAGGGAGAUCUUUUCUAAGAGAGAUUCUAAACUAAGAGACCAGAUUUUUUUUGUCAACUGUUGCCUGUUUAAACCCUUUAUUUUUUCUGGAGUAAAAUCCUCUUACAUUUUUCUGACUCAUUUUCAAAAGUAGAGGAAAAAAAAGAUGUGCUGCAUUUUUUCCCUACUAUGGUGCCUGUAUGUAGCCUUGACAGAGCAGGAGAAAUCUAUAUAUUGCUCUGAGGUAAAGGUAGCUUUCUUUUUUCUUCUUGGAUCUUAUGAGAGUGCCUCUUAUUUUGUAUUCCCUAACAGGAGUGUGUUUUUUGCUGUGUAGAAAGAGAAGCUUGACACCUGAUGCAGUGCUUUCAGAAAUUACUGCAAAGAUUUCCAUUUGGGAAUUGCAGCUGGCCUUCAAAAUAAUUUCUUAUUUUUCAUACUAUUCUUAAAGUUAUUUUACCUCCAUUUUCUACAGCCUGUAGGCUUCUUGACCCCAUUCUAGUAGGAACAACAGCCAAGAAUUAACUUAGUAUCUCUUGUGUUUCCAGAAAUGAAUGAUUUUCAGGAAUCUUUCUAGUGGGAAAAUACCAGUUAUGAAAUGUUGUUACUGAAACCCGUGGAAAGCUGAUUGCUGUCUGAUAUGAUCAUGGUGGUUAUGUUGUGCAUUUGUGUCCUUAGGAAUCUUCCAGUAAUUAGGUUAUAUUUCUGUGAUGUUGUAUUGCUACUCUUGUGAAAAUCAGCAAAAAUAGAAAAUACAACUUAAUGUUGAUGGAAGCAUUUGGAUAGGACUCAGAAUGAGGUAAUAUAGCAACAAUCAAACAAAAUUCAUGUCUCUGUAGUGACCAAGAUAUUGGCUAGCUUGAUGUUAAGGACUUGAAAAACUGAUAUGGAAGUUUGGAGUUGCAUUGGUUAAAAGACUUACAGAGUAAGAAAGGAUUACAGCAAGCCAAAUGCUUUGAAAUUAAAUGAACAAAUAGUUAACACUUGCCCAGAUGUGAUAUACUGGUUUCUGGUUUCAUGCGUUAAUUGCUUUUCUAAGGCAGAUUGUAUUUGACUCUCCUUUUUGUUUGGUCUUUGUACUGUUUUUCUCUUCCCCUUUAUGGAAGUCUGGAAUUUCUAAGGUGGUUUUAGGUUUAACUGAUUGACUUAUAGCAGAAUUCCAAGAUGUAUUGUCAGUAAAGUUUCAUUCAUUUUGAGAAUAGUGAUUUUCAGCAGUAGUUGCUAAAGACAGUAUUUUACAGGAAUUUAGGAAAACUGUGGUGAUGUAAAAGGUGCUAUCACUCUUUUGUGUGUGUUUAUAAAAGGGAAAUUAAUACUAAAUUAUAUCUAUGCAAGUAAACAAUAAUUGAUAUAAUGACACUUUAAAAAAGAAUCUUAGUUGUUUCAUUCUGUUUUCAAAGUAACUUUAAAGGCUAUUUUGUCUUCUUCAAAGAAGUAGUGGUAAUCAAACAUAGUAGUUAAAUUUGUGAAUCUUGAGGAAAAAAAAUGCAAAAUAUCUUGGCUGCAGCACCCAGUUCCUAUGUUAGCAGAGCAAAGAAUAUUAAGUAACACACUCGCUGUCCAAGAAAUUGGCCUGUUAUUUUUACACUCCAUAGUGUGCUUGAAGGUAUUUUUCAUGUCUUCUGGUACUUGCAGAAGGAAGAAGUCUUUUCAAGUGGACUGAUCCUAAGUUUGUAAGAUGUCAAUUGGUACUGACAAAGGAAAAAGAACAAUGAUCCAUUUGGUGAAAUUUGAAAGUGGCAUAUUAUCCAUUCUUACUUACUAUUUAAACUUAUACUGAUGUAGCAUUACCUGUCCAUUAGAGACUUCAAGUACCCUCUGGUACUUGAGGCACUUGAGCUACAUUUUAUCACCAUUAUCUUGUGGUUCUUUUCUUAUUUAGUCUUGGAGGUUUUUGCUUUCUGCAGUCCCAUUUGAUUAAACAUGCUGUGUAAGGACCCCGGUAUUGUUACAGCCACUUUACGCUGUGUGUGAACAGAGGCUCCAGCUUCUGGCAUCUCUUUCCAUUCAAUUACUUCAGAUGAUCUGUAAAUUUUCAAUAAUGGCAAUACAUUCAUUCUGCCAUUUGGAGGAGCCUGUGCCACAGAAUAAUGAUCUGAAGAAAGCUCACUCAUUUGCAAGGAAGAGUCUUCAUUUGGGAAUUAGCACUGAUGCAGCUCAAGGGUGCUUUUUCAAGUCCAGACUCUUUCAGCAGAACUGUUAUUUUCCUAACACAGCCUCUGGUACAAGGAUAAAACUGGGUUUUUGUCAAAGAACAGAGUCCUGUAUCUGAAGAUUAAGAAGGUCCUUGACAUUCAGUGGGAUGAGAAUCUCAGAACUGACUACUGGGGACUCCCAGGCUACAGAUCAGAAAUCAUUUUGGUAGGUGUGGGUUGCUUGUCAGAAAUCUGUUCCGAAGCUUGAGUGCAAAGGAAGCAGGGUACUAAUGAUGAAUAAGAAUGGAUAUCUUGAGGAUAACAAUGGAUAUGGCAUCUUCAAAAGCAGUGGCAUUCUGGUCCUAGUCCUGUAACUGGAUUUGUUCAAAUGGACCUCAAGAGCCUGGGGGCCUGAUGAAGUCCAUGGGACUCUGGUGACUGCAGGUUCUCACUCUGAAGAUCUGAUUGUAGGCCUGAACCUUAAUUUCUAUUUUGUUUUCCUGUCUGUUUGCUUCUUAAAUGAUGAAAAUUAUCCUUUGAAAUGGUGUUGUCUUUGAGUCUCAUGCACAUCCACUUUAGUAGUGUUCAGACACUGUGUGCUUGGGAUGUUGUCAGACAUUGUUAAAAUAUUUCUGUUCUGUUGUGUGCCUAAACCUCCUGAUUGCUCUGAUUAUUGUAUUAGAUUUUUCUGUUUAGUGCCUUUCUACCUAAAAUAGAGAAGAUCAUCACCUGUGUUUUCAGUUGUGAUAUUUCUCUUAACUCAAAUUUUUAAGAGUAACUGUUGAAACUGUUCAGGUUAUUUUUAAAGAUACAGGUAGAUUUGUUUAUUUCUUGCUGAUCUCAAAGUAUAAUAUUUUAUUUUGCAAACUUGGUAGCCUAGUAUUACUAAAAGCUUACAGUACGAUGAUACUCUGAUGUAAUAAAAUAAGUAGGAAAUGACCCUUUUACUAGCUCUCCUGUUGCUUUUCUAUUCCUGUGGCUGUGGUUACACAACAUACGACUGAGAGUGAAGAUAUUUUUACUUUUUGAGCCAGUGUAUACCUUUUGUUGACAAUAAGUGCUGUUCCCUGUCCUAUUCCAUAUUGCAGUUUCACUGAAUAGCCUUGGUAGAAGCUGUAGAAAGGACUUUGAAAAAUCACAUGUAGAGUGUGAUCACAAAUAGAGUGUGAGAGAAAAAACAGAUGUGUUCUAUCUCUAUACAUGUUAGUAUUUAUGUUCUAUAUAUUUUUAAAGCAAGUGUGUAGCACUGUAGGGUAAUUAAGAGGUCCAAAAGAUCCAAAACAUCCUUUCCAUACAGAGAAUCAGAGAAACUUUUUUGAUUUUUGUAGGCUAAUUACAAUGAUAUUAAGGAGCUUCACAGAAUUUGAUGAAUUUUUGCAAUAUUCCCUGAACAGAAAAGCACCAUUGUCCUGUUAGACCAAGGAGAAAACUGAGCCACUUGUUUAGUCAGUAGUAAAGUCAAUGAUAUUAAAUGGAUUCUCCUGCCUUUUAA